rnacentral:rRNA from 1 species
AUUGAACGCUGGCGGAAUGCUUUACACAUGCAAGUCGAACGGCAGCACGGGGCAACCUGGUGGCGAGUGGCGAACGGGUGAGUAAUACAUCGGAACGUGCCCAAUCGUGGGGGAUAACGUAGCGAAAGUUACGCUAAUACCGCAUACGAUCUACGGAUGAAAGCGGGGGAUCGCAAGACCUCGCGCGAAUGGAGCGGCCGAUGUCAGAUUAGGUAGUUGGUGGGGUAAAGGCUCACCAAGCCAACGAUCUGUAGCUGGUCUGAGAGGACGACCAGCCACACUGGAACUGAGACACGGUCCAGACUCCUACGGGAGGCAGCAGUGGGGAAUUUUGGACAAUGGGCGCAAGCCUGAUCCAGCCAUGCCGCGUGAGUGAAGAAGGCC